ensembl:lncRNA
CUCUUGCUAGAGACCUCUGUCUACCUGUGGCUUUCCAAAGGCAUGUAUGCACUGGUUCAGACAUUUUUCCAUUUGAAAUAGCUUGAGUUGGGAAAGAGAAAAACUGUGAAAAUGCUAGUGGAACCCAUAAACCUCAUACUAUGUGAUUAUGCCUCCACAAGAGAAACAGAAGCACGGACCUAUGUUGCUUUUCUGAACGGGCAUACGAUCUGGCAAUAGGCUGUGGCAAUUAAAUAUCAGAACUGAGAUUUCUCAGAAAGAAAUGCUGAAGAGGUUGCCACUUUGCAGAUGUGCUCUUACUGUAUAGAAAUUCCUAUGUGAGGGGGGGAGUACUACAGAGACAACUUAAAAAAUGGGCUAUUACCAUUUUUUCUCUUUUUUUUUAUAAAAGCUAGUAGUGUACAUAAAUCUUCAAGUUAUUUGGUAUUAGAUAAAACAGUGAAUUUUUAUUUCUCUAUGGCAUAUAUUAGCAUGGCGCUUUCUCUAGAUGUAAUAGCCGUAUGGAUUCUGUCUUCUCUAAAUGGCUGUGUGUGGUACGUCAAAAUGUGGCAUGCUUUCUCAGGCUUGGGGCAGGACAAAGAAUAACUGGAGUGAUUUGAAACCAGAAUUUGCUACUAUGUGGAUGGAAGUUAGUGUGACUAGCUUCAGGAGAGAAGAAAUUAAACAUACAGGAGCUGCAGGCUGUUUCCCAGGGUCAACACAGUCCCUAAGCACUAUAUUUGAGUGUUAAACUUCAGAUCUUUGCCUGGAUCCUUGCAAGGUAUCCACAGCCAAGUAUUGCUGGAGACUUCUAAUCAGGGCUUUCUUGCUUCUUGAGACUGCAGUUCAUAAGGAUUGAGUCCCCAUAAUUAAGAGGAUAAUUAAGGAGGAUGAAAACAAGACCUUCUAAAGAGGGCUUGGUGUCCCUUUACCUGCAGAAGUUUGUUCACGUUUCUGCUCAGAUCUGCCAUACUCUUACCUUAUGCCUUAUUGGCAAUGUAAAUUGGCAAUAGCUACCUUUGGUAAACAGGGCUGUCUUCAUUACUUCCUGCUCAAGAGUUUUUCUUCAAAAUAGAUGUUACCUGAUGGAUAUCCGUAAUAAACUUCAGCAUGGUUUUUCUUACAGUUAAAAACUAUGCACUAGGGGCUGCUCUUGAAGAUAACAUUAUACAAAUAUAUGGAAUCUGAGUAUUUCUGUGCGUGUUCUUCCCUUAGGGUAAAUACUUUUCCCAAGAGUUUCUCUCUUCAGUUACAAGUAUUCCUAACAAGUUAACAAGAUGUUAGUAUUCCUUCUUUCCAAAGUCAGGAGAAAUGAUUAAGUGCUUAAAACUGUUUUUAUGAACAAAACAGUAAUGUAGGUUGCAUAGAUCUCUGAUGUAGACAGUUCCACUUCACAUAUUGUGUUUUUAUCCUGUUCAACACAGAAAUACUCUCUGCUUUGUGAUGAUUUAUUAGCACUGAAAUUCCAUCCGUGGUACUCCUCUGUUCAAAAGCUUCUUUCCAGAUGAUCAUAUCUUUUACUCCUACAUCUAAGAAUUUAUUUUUCAUUUCCCGAACCUUCCCCCUUCUUCUAAGUAAUUAGUAUGAAACUCUUUUCUAAGUUUCUCUUCCGUUUCAAAUUCUCCUUACAGUGUAGCAUAUGAUUCAUUAGAGGAAGAACUAUUCCGUGCAUCAAGCUGCAGAUUGGCCUGUGGUUCUCUUCCCCAAGUAUAUUUUCUAAAAUGUAGACUCUGUGUAAGUUAAGAUGUCAUUUGGAAUAUAAAAAUCAGGAUAGAUGACCAUGUCUGUAUUCGCUCCAAUAUGUGGGAUUAAAAACAGCAAGCAAUGGAUAAAAGUAGAUCAAAUGGCUUAUAUAAAAGCAAAGAGAAGUGGAGCAGUGGUUCUAACUCUUAUUCUCACUGUCACAGUGUGAUCAUUGUUUUAUUUACUGCGUAGCACUUUAAUUUCUAAGUCAGCAAUGCAGACAGCAUGUGUUUCACUUAGAAAUGCAGUACAUCCUGCCUUAAAGGUGGCCUGUGAUUGAGCUCCUUUAAACAAUUACUGGGUAUGAAAUGGAUUGAUUGCUCUCACUUAGAUACAGUGCUCAAUUAAUAGAGUUCUAUUAACAUUCAGCUUGGAGAACAAGACAGGACUCGACAGUUAAUUGACUGUUUAGUAGCCUGUUGCAUUUGUAGAUCUGAAACGAACUUUUCUUCACACUUAAUGAGCUAGAGCAUUUUAAAUUGGAAAAAUGUUUGCCAUAGUGCUCCAGCUGUUCCCAUUAUAAAUGCCUGGGGACCCGUCUAGUUUAAUUUGUUAUGCUCUCAUGUAAAGUUCAUGACAAUGUAUUUUAAAUGGUAACAUAUGGAUCAGGAGGAAAAAUAAAUCACCUUUUAC